rnacentral:rRNA from 1 species
GUGGGGAAUCUUCCGCAAUGGACGAAAGUCUGACGGAGCAACGCCGCGUGAGUGAAGAAGGUUUUCGGAUCGUAAAGCUCUUUCGUUAGGGACGAACGUGCUCUUUGUGAAUAAUGAGGAGUAAUGACGGUACCUAAAUAAGAAGCCACGGCUAACUACGUGCCAGCAGCCGCGGUAAUACGUAGGUGGCAAGCGUUGUCCGGAAUUAUUGGGCGUAAAGCGCGCGCAGGCGGGAUAUCAAGUCUGUCGUAAAAGUGCGAGGCUCAACCUCGUGAGGGGACAGAAACUGGUAUUCUUGAGUGUCGGAGAGGAAAGUGGAAUUCCAAGUGUAGCGGUGAAAUGCGUAGAGAUUUGGAAGAACACCAGUGGCGAAGGCGACUUUCUGGACGAUGUCUGACGCUGAGGCACGAAAGCUAGGGGAGCGAACGGGAUUAGAUACCCCAGUAGUCC